rnacentral:lncRNA from 1 species
AGCAAAGGUCGUCAGUGACAGGGAUCAGUUGUGGGCGGCGAGUGGUCCCUCUGCACACGGUAUCUGGGCCGAGUCUGGAUUCAUUAGAGUCCCCGGCGCCCAGCACUGAGUGGCAUGCAUAAGUAUUGGUGUCACGAACAACGGUCAGCCCCCGGCUUGCCCGCAAGGAAGGGCGUCGGGCGGAGGCACCAGUUCCUCCCGGAAGCUUUUUGUCGCUAUCGCCACCAGCCCCUGGCAGUGGCAGUGGCCGUGGCCGGGCGUGAAGGCGGCCUCUCGGGCUGCAUGCCUCCUGGAGCUGGGGCCACGUCUCAGUGGUGGAACGCCUAGUCGGGGCGUGGGGCUGAGCCCUCGUGUCCUCAGGGCCCAACCAGACAUAAGGCAGCGUGGUGCGGCGGAAAGGGGUCCCAAGGAAAGUCCUCGGAUCCAACUUCGAAUUACCGGCCUCCUCGCUGAGCCUUGGGAGAAACAGCGGUGCCUCCUUCCCGCGGGUGCGGAGAGGAAGAAUGAAACGUUGCCUACUCCCUGCCUCUUAUCUUCCUCUUUAUGCCUAGCCUGGAGCUCAACUCCAGGAUUGAAGACUAUCGCUGACCGGAGUGCUUUUCACGUACUAGUUCAUGUAUUACUUUAUUUAAUCCUCAGAACAACCUCAUUAAGUAGAUAAUAU